GCUGGGCACAUUGGUGCAUGCCUGUAGUCCCAGCUACUCUGGAGGCUGAGGCGGGAGGAUUGCUUGAGCCCAGGAGUUUAAGGCUGUAGUGCACUAUAUGUUGGUACCUCUGAAUAGCCACUGUACUCCAGCCUGGGCAACAUAGCAAGAUCCUAUCCCUA
rnacentral:SRP_RNA from 1 species